rnacentral:rRNA from 1 species
CGUAACAAGGUUUCCGUAGGUGAACCUGCGGAAGGAUCAUUACCUAGAGUUGUAGGCUUUGCCUGCUAUCUCUUACCCAUGUCUUUUGAGUACCUUGGUUUCCUCGGCGGGUCCGCCCGCCGAUUGGACAAUUUAAACCAUUUGCAGUUGCAAUCAGCGUCUGAAAAAACUUAAUAGUUACAACUUUCAACAACGGAUCUCUUGGUUCUGGCAUCGAUGAAGAACGGAGCGAAAUGCGAUAAGUAGUGUGAAUUGCAGAAUUCAGUGAAUCAUCGAAUCUUUGAACGCACAUUGCGCCCCUUGGUAUUCCAUGGGGCAUGCCUGUUCGAGCGUCAUUUGUACCUUCAAGCUCUGCUUGGUGUUGGGUGUUUGUCUCGCCUCUGCGCGCAGACUCGCCUCAAAACAAUUGGCAGCCGGCGUAUUGAUUUCGGAGCGCAGUACAUCUCGCGCUUUGCACUCCUAACGACGACGUCCAAAAGUACAUUUUUACACUCUUGACCUCGGAUCAGGUAGGGAUACCCGCUGAACUUAAGCAUAUCA